rnacentral:rRNA from 1 species
GUGCUAAUCUGCGAAAAGCGUCGGUAAGGUGAUAUGAACCGUUACAGCCGGCGAUGUCCGAAUGGGGAAACCCAGUGCAAUUCGUUGCACUAUCGUUAACUGAAUACAUAGGUUAACGAGGCGAACCGGGGGAACUGAAACAUCUAAGUACCCCGAGGAAAAGAAAUCAACCGAGAUUCCCCCAGUAGCGGCGAGCGAACGGGGAGCAGCCCAGAGUCUGAAUCAGCUUGUGUGUUAGUGGAACGGUCUGGAAAGUCCGACGGUACAGGGUGAUAGUCCCGUACACCAAAAUGCACAGGUUGUGAACUCGAAGAGUAGGGCGGGACACGUGGUAUCCUGUCUGAAUAUGGGGGGACCAUCCUCCAAGGCUAAAUACGCCUGACUGACAGAUAGUGAACCAGUACCGUGAGGGAAAGGCGAAAAGAACCCCGGCGAGGGGAGUGAAAAAGAACCUGAAACCGUGUACGUACAAGCAGUGGGAGCACCUUCGGGUGUGACUGCGUACCUUUUGUAUAAUGGGUCAGCGACUUAUAUUCUGU